AGGAGCGGGACAGGGCGCGAGAGUCGGUCUGGCUUCCGCUGCCCGGGUCAGAGGCCGCCAGAGCCAGAGGGAAAGGGGCCCCCACCAGGGGAAGUGGCGCCCACCCUGCGUUCCCACUUCCUCUGGCUCAUUUCUGGUGCCCACGCCAGGAGAGGGCCCAGGGGGACCUCCCCGAGGUUCUCAAGCCCGACACGCCUGAGACCCGCCCACUUGGUGGGCCGCAUGAGGCUGGUCGAGGGACUGAGGCUGCUCUGAGGAUGGAGGGCCCCCAAACGGAUGGAGUCACCCCUGUCAGACCUGGGCCCCCUUGGGCUCCUGCCUUCUUGCUCCCCCCGAGUCCUACACCGCGUGGGACACUGCGGGGAGCGACCCCCCGCCAGGCCUGGCCGGUCCAGGUGUGUUCAUGUGCUGUGCACAGGCCACUUGCCCCGACAGCCCAGAGUCCAGAGCAGGGAGCGCUGCCGGAGCCUUUGCCAGCGGCCGCUUCCGCUUUGCGGGGAGGGGACAGCGAAGCACCUGCCAGCUUACACCUGCAGGAGGGCGGGGCAGAGGUGCAGGCGGGCUUGCUGGAGUGGCCACCCUAACAGUCUCCAAAAUACGGGCGGUGGAUCUCGAGGGUUAGUUUCUCCGCCGGCAGAGUACUCCGUGCUUGGCUGCACCUGGGCGAGCCACACCCCCCCAGGACCCUUCCGAUGUGAUGUUCUUGGCUCAAAGCGUUUUUCCAGAGAAGGUUCUGGGAAUUCACGUGGAAAACAGGCUUUCAACCUCGUCUCACAGUUGCCCACUUUCCUGGCCACAGACUUCUUUCCAGGGGAAGGCCUGUCUGCACUGCGCUCGGAGGCCAGGCAUGCUGGCCGGCACAGCCCACGGGAGGAGCAGCGGGUGACCUGGCUGCUGGCCCAGUCCCGCUCUGUCACUCGAGUGCACCCUCCUGGACCCGCAGGUCUCCUGUUGCCCGGACCCCGUGUUGCAGCUAGUGGAUGUUGAGGGCACCUGGGGAGCGAGGCUGGCUGUGCGCCUUGGUCCCCCGAACCCUCCCAGGGCACCGCAGGACUCGAGAGGGCAGGAGUGCCCGGGUUUGAAGCCAGGUCCUCAAGCAGCAUCGUCUCUGAGGCCCCCUCCCCAGCGUCCUGUUUGCAGACCAGAGUGUGUAACAGAGCUACCCCCCAAGGGUCCUUUGGGAGUUAACUUGUCCGCACGAGCCCCAGAGAGUGGGCUUCUGUUGCUAGCCCCAGCCAGCCAGCAGCCCGAGUGUCCCAGGGCCACACAAACAGGCAUCAGGUGGCGCAGGGCAGAGCCGUCCUGGCAGGGGGAGGUGGCCCCUUUGUGUGUGACCCAGACCCGGGAGCAGAGUCCCAAAGAACUCGUGGCCCGUGGACCGUCCGUUGGGGGCUCCAGCAUGGCUCUUGGGGGCUGCCCGGCAUGAUGACACUUGCCGGUGUCUGGCGGACACAGUGUCUGCUGGUGUUUGGGAAGGAAGGAGGUGACACGGGGGCCCCUGACCACGUGAGUCUGCCAGGAGCUCAGAUACUGGGCGUGCGUGGUGGUGAGACGUGUCCUUGGCUUCCAGGGUUGCCCAGGCAAGUCACUGACAACAGCGUGGACCCGUGCCAGGGCCCUGGCAGGGAUAACCGGCCUGCGAUGGAGACGGUGGGCGUCUCCACGGAGCUGACAGGGAGCUGAGGUCUGAGCGAGGAGGGCCACACACAGGCGGCCUGGGGACAAGUGCGCCUGGGGGACGGCAGCUAAGAGAAAGCCCCAAGGGCGGGUUGUGCACAAGCCCACGAUGGCCGGGUUUGGCCUUUCAGAGGGUCUGGGGCCGCUGCCUGGAGGGCGGGAAGGCCAGUGGUGCCGCCAGGGGCGGUGGGGCUUGACCCAUUGGCCCUGGGGGUGUCAGUGGCGAAGGAAGGAAAGGGGCGCCCUUCCCAGAGCAUGGCACACCUGCUGCUGGACCUCAGCGCAGGAGACCCGGGGCCUGAGCGCUCCUCCCUGGGGUGCUGGGCCAGAGACCCCAGCAGUGCUUCUGACCGCUGAGUGCCGCCGCCCCCCGCUCGCCCCCGCGCUCACCGCCCGCACGUCGUCGGGCAGGUCCUCGUCCAGCUCGCCCUUGACCGUCUUCUCCAGGGUGUUGAUGGCGGCCUCCAGGAGCUUCUCGUGGUGGUGGUUCUCCAGGUCCCGGCACUGAGCCAUCGUGCGGCGCGAGUUAAGCCGGGGCGGGACGAGCAGCCCCCCCACCCCCCGGGCAGGGCCCUCCCUUUGGCCCCGGGUCCCGCUCGUCCCUCGUCUCCAUCCCCACCGCCUCCCUCCGCUCCAGCCCCUUCUAACGCAGCUCCAGAGCUCCCGCCGGGUCGGAACCGAGAGGCCUCUUGGAAGGCACCUGUCCUGCAGGCCUUUGCACAGGCCGCCUCCCGGGCCGGGAAGGUCCUCCCCAGCUUCCCAGCCGGCCCUGCGGCCCACCCUGAGGCCUCAGUUGGUGGAGGCUGCCUCCAGAGCUCUGCGCCCCCGCAGGACCUCGGACCCAGGAGGACAGGACGGGGUGACUUCUGGGGUGAACCUCUGAGCCCCAAAUGUCCGCUCCUAACCUAACCUUUCUCCUGACCAUCUCAUCACGGAUGAGCAGGCAGCCUCCUCGGCACCGAGGCCGCCCCGCCCCGAGGGCGUGCGCAGGGCGGGGUGUCCCGGAGUGAGGCCUCCUGGUGAGGUCAGGACCUGGGCUGUGAGCAGCAGCCUGCCAGGCAGCCCCCGAUGGGGGGCCUUCCAAACUCUAACCAGGCGCCACUGUGCCGGGGGGUCAGAGAACAUCCCUGGAACAUUCCAGGUGGUUGCCAGGUUUCUAUCCUUUGAAGGUGGGCUUUUCUCCUCAGUGGAAAAACGGGAGGUUUUACACUCUAAUCUCAAAGCUGCAGAUUCCCACUAAAUAGGGUCCUGUUUAGUCUCAUGUUGGUGGAGAAAGAGACCUUUUUGUUUUUUUGGCUUCUUAGGGCCGCCCCCUCGGCAUAUGGAGGUUCCCAGGCUAGGGGUCCACCACAGCCACCGCAACGCAGGAUCUGAGCCGUGUCUGCGGCCUACACCACAGCUCACGGCAACGCCGGAUCCUUCACCCGCUGAGCGAGGCCAGGGAUUGAACCGUCAACCUCAUGGGUCCUAGUCGGAUUUGUUUCCGCUGCGCCACGACGGGGCCCCCGAGACAGACAUCUUUCUGUAAACCAAACGCGGCGUUGGCAUUUCCGGCUUAUGGUCUCCUGAAAACGACAAGGAGGCCGCCACCGCGCUCGUUUAGGCUUGGACGCCCCGGGCUGCGCGCCGGCUGAAGGCGCUCCUUAGGCUGGAGCGGCGCCUCCGACCGACCGCGGACCUUCCCGGGCGGCGCCAUGCCGCGACCCUGCCCGCUCUCCCUCCCAGCCGCUCCCCAGCAGCCACUCGGAGGUUCGUGGCCUUCUCCGGGCCUCUGCCCCAGCCCUGGCUGGCCCCUCAGCAUGCGCACGCAGCCACCACCUUCCUUCGGGCUCCUCCGUGGCACCUGCCUCCACUUCCAAAGAAGCAGGGAGGGAGUCGCUAAGAGCCAGGCUGCCUGCCAGCUCCACCACGCUGUGUAACCCUGGGGCUUUAACUCCCCGGCGCCGCCUCUACUUCCCCAUCUGUGAAGUGGGCUUCCUCUGCAUAGUGACACAUCUCAUGAGAUGGCAGUGACGCGUCAGUGGGUUUCUUCUCACCGAAUGCCUUGCGGGGUGUCUGGCAGAGAGGAAACCCUGGCCACUGUGCCUCUUACCCAGGUUUCUCGCUCUCAGGGCACCUGCCUGCAGGCCUCUCGGCCCCACCCCCACCCCCGGGGCCUCCCCGCACCGCUGCGCCCCACUGCUCUGCAAGGCACCCGGCCUCGCCCAGGUGCCAAGGUGAGAGCUGCUCCCUGUGAGCCAGAGGGACGGGCCAUGCCUCUGACCUGCCGCAGGGCAGUGGCAUGGGAGUCUGAGGCUGCAGGCUGAGCCAAUUAAACGUUUUCGAACGUGUGAACUCUUGCAAUGAACAAAAGCAGGGUCACUGUAAAGCCCGACUCCGCCCUGGAGCUUCGGGUCUCUGGGACCCGGCUGCGACGCCAGCGCGCAGGUUCUGGAGAAUCCGGGGACAGUGAAAAGGGGCUCCCCCUGCUCGAAGGUUGCAAGCCACUGCCUGAGCCCCCACCCCUGCCAGUGCUCGCGGUUGCUUUCUGCAGCGCUGGAGCCUGCUGGCGGGUGGGGGUGGGACAAGCACCCCCGCUGCGGUGGGGCACCUCUCCUGUGUGACACGACACUUGACAAGUGAGGCCCUGGUGAGACGCUGUCUCCCGCCAGCGCAGCUUGCACCAAGGUCCCUGUCAUCUGUGCCCUUCAGCCCCGGCCCCCACAGCCUCAUAAACGCACGGGUCCACCUGGCUGCCCAGGACCUUAGGAAGCUAAACCACAGGCUCCUCGCAUGGCCCUGAGAUGCCGCGACUGCAGGCUGUGCCGCUGGAGCCUUGGUUUCCUCCCAGGGUGGGGGGAGCGCAGCACCUGGACGGCUCCUGGGCUCUGCUCGCGUUAGGAUUCGCGUUAAGAAGUUCCUUCGGACGGGUCAGCGUUCCAGAGGAACGAGUGCUGCACGAGGACCCCUCAUAACCGCAACGAAAAGCAGUAGAAGAAGAGAAGGCCCCCGUCGCCACCACGCCACGUCACUGGGACGCCUCCCUCCGGCAGGGGCGAGGCGCUCCCGGGAAGGCCCCGCUCACCUCCAGCUGCUCCGCCAGCUGCAUCUCCAGCAUCAUGAGCGAGUUGAACAGCUCGGCGACGCGCUCUCUGCACGCCACUAGCCUCGUCUCCAAGGUGGUCAGUUCAGACGCGUCCCGGAUGGCACUCAGGCUCUGGAAACAAAGCCUGUGCUUUAGGAACCCAGCGCUGAGCGUGGCCGUAGUUACCAAGACGGGAGGCGGCCCUGUGGCUCGUGGGGAGGAACGUGGAGCCCGGGGCCGCGCCGCCCGACCCCGGCCGAGGCUGUCAGGGCAGGGCCUCUGCCAGCUGCUGCGUCCUUAGCUCACGGGGGAGGAGCAGUGGCCUCAGAGUCACAAGGACUCUGUGGCUCUCCCUGGGUCACCGUGCCACCUUCGGGCUCUGAACCUCGUCUUCUCAGGUCCAGGCUCACAAGGCCUGGGGGUGAGGCGGCGUCUGUGAGGUCCCGGCUCCCACAGGGGCUCGGCUCCCAGCGCUGCCAGACUCUGAUAAGAAGCCCUUGGAGUUCCCACUGUUGGCACAAUGGGACUGGCAGCGUCUCUGCAGGGUCAGGACGCAGGUUCAGUCCCCAGCCUGGCAGAGUGGGCAAAGGAUCUGGUGUAGGUUGCAGCUGUGGUUCAGGCCUGAUUCCUGGCCUGGGAAAUGCAUGUACCACAGGGCAGCCGAAAACACAGGGACCCGCAGCAGGAACGCACGCAGGCCGAGCCUGUGGGAGCCGGCUGGGCCCGCACACGCCCCACAAAGGAGCAGAGGCAGGUCUGUCGGCAAGGCGGGCGCUCGUGAGCUGCAGAGCACGUGCAUCCCAGCCUGCACCCAGUGCCAGCCCGUCUCUAGCGACGGACGCAAUGCCCUCAGAGUCACGGGCGUGACUGGGGUCACGGCUGCCUCGUCUGGAGAAGACCAGCCCCCUCACUGGCUCAACCUGACCCGCAGACACUCCCGCCAGGGCCCAGACGAAAGGUAAAAAUAAAGCCACAAAAGCACGUGA